rnacentral:lncRNA from 1 species
UGUGCAUUCUGUUGAGUAAGCGCAUAAACUCUUCCUUGGGUUUUAGAAAUCUGUCCACCACCCUUAUGUUGUCCUUCAUGAGUUCUUUGGCCAACUUGAUUUUCAGUAUUUAGCGAGCAGCUAGCAAUUUUAUGAUUCUUCUGACCACAUUUGAAACAAGCACCUGUAUUUCAAUAGCAAUCCUUGUCUGCAUGAUUUUUG